UACAUACGCAAGGGGAGCUGACGCGUCGGCUGAGAGGAAAUACGAACGGAUUUCGACCCUGGAACCUGAUACGGAUAAUGCCGGCGUAGGAAGCGAACCAGAAGUUUA
rnacentral:ncRNA from 2 species